rnacentral:lncRNA from 1 species
GGCUCUCUUAUUUUGGGUCCCCAGUGGAGUUGCCAAGCUGUUGACACCAUUUUUUUGAUAAAAGGGUCGACUUGGAUUUUAAAAAACAAAAACAAAAAAACGGGAGUCGCCACCAAUUCUUUUUGAUAAGGUGUGAUUGGAUCACCUCGAAAAGUGGUUGUUUUUAAUAAACAAUUCGAUUUUAUUAAAACAACGAUUUUGGUCCACGA